rnacentral:tRNA from 4 species
GGGGCUAUGGCGCAGCUGGUAGCGCACCUGCAUGGCAUGCAGGGGGUCAGGGGUUCAAAUCCCCUUAGCUCCAC